AUGAAAAAAAAUUUUUUUAAAAAGUGAAAUUUGGGCACAGACACAUAUAGAGGGAGGAAAUGAUAAGAAGAUGAAGGCAGAGAUUCAGGGAUUUGGUGAUGCUUCUAUAAACCAAGACAAUAGGUUACCAAAGAUGACCAGUAAACCACCAAAAGCUGGGAGAUAGGCCUGGAAGGAAUUCUUCCUCACUGCCCUUACUCAGAAGGAACCAAUUUUGCUAACACUUGAUUUCAGAGGUCUAGUCUCCAGAACUGUGGGACAAUAAAGUGUUCAAACCAUCUAGUUGGUUUGAACUCUAUUGCGGCAGCCCUAAGAAACUGAUACAGAUGGCUUCGCAGACUGAUCAUGUCGUGGAGCCUGAUGAAUUGCCUCGUAGUCCUGUCUGUGACCAGAUUAUCUGUAAUCCCUAGAUCCAGUCUUUGUUCCUUUGGCAGUGCUAGAAAACUGCUCCCCAAGAAACCUUUGGGUUUCCUUUUCCUAAAUCCAAGAACAUCUUCUCUGCUCCAUUUAUACUCUUUCUUCUCAUGGGUUAAUACCGUUUAUUAUACCUCAGUUCUCUUCAUCACACUUGUUAUGUCUCAUAGUACACCUGUGUUCCUCCCGCCAAGUCUUUAUACACAUGACCCAGACUACUGAAGAAGGAGAUUUAUGAUCCCUGCCCUUUGAAAUUUUGAUUUGUAAGUUUGUGGUUGAAUCCAAGAACCAUCAUUUUUAAUAAGCACCACAGGUGCUGUUCACCUCAUCGAUUGUCUGUUGAUUCAUAUCAGUUUCUUUCUUAGAGCAUAAUCAAAAUGCCAAGCUUUGGAGACACCCAGCAUAGUCCAACUUUGGAUAAAGUCUUAACUUUAUGUAUUUAGGCAUUCCAACCCUAAGAGUUCGGAAGUAGAUGGGGUGUCAGAGCCAGCCUCAUUCAUUCACUCAUUCAACAAAGUUUUUUGAGCACUGCAUAGACAUAAAUGCCUUACCUUCUAACUGGGAGGAAAGAGCUGAUAAAUCAAUCAGUAUACUAGGCGGGCAGUCCUGUAGAAGAAAAUAAGCAGGGGAGGGAGCGUGUGAGUGCAGAGGGUCUUGUAGGCAUUGCGGUUUGCAGUGGGCCAUCCUGGGUAGGCCUCAUUGGCAGAGUGACUUGAAAGUGAGCCAUGUGGCUCUCUAGAAGUCGAGUGUCCCAGGCAAAGAGGACAGCCAGUCUAACGUCCCUGAUCAGAAGCUGAGCAUGCCUGGCAUGAGAGAGGGAGCGGUGUGACAGGGGCUGAGGUCUGAAAAGGUACGGGGAGCCAGGUCAUGCACUUACAGGGCAUUGCAAGGUCAUUGGCUUAUACUCAAGUGAGAUGGGAGCCACUGGAAGAGUCUGAGCGGUGACAUGAUCUGACUUACAUUUUUAAAGUAUCACCCAGGCUGCUGUAGGGGGAAUGGUCGCAGAAGCAGGGAGACCAGUUAGGAGAUGACUCCGGUAAUCCAGGUGAGAUGUGGAUGGCUGGGAACAGGGUGGUAGCGCCGGAUCUGGGGAGAGGUGGUUGGAUGUUGUGUAUAUUGUGAAGGCAGAACCAAUCAUUUUCUGACUGAUUGGAUGUGAAUGUUGGAGAAGAGAGACAUUAAAGAGGACUCUACUCAGGGUGAAUCUUGGAAUUUUUGCUUGGGAUGCUGAGCAGAAGCAUCCCCAAAUAAGGAAGCACAUGGUCCGCGUGUUGCUGGCAGCCAUCCUGUGUUCAUGAGGACAGCCAGCCUGAGGGUGGAGCCCAUGCCGCAUUGGCAGGGCAGAGUGGCAGGAAGAAAUUGUCCUGAGGGCGGUGCUGAGCCCUGGAGUCCACACCUGAAGCCGAAUCCACCUUUGCACUUCCAGUUACAAGAGCCAAUGAGUCCCCUUUGUUACUUUGUUAUUUGCAUCCCAAGCACUACUCUGCUGCCUAUUGGGACAUGUCUUUCAGAGGCACCAUUCACCUAAAGAAACUUCUCACAGUCCUAUCAGAACCAGCCUCCAGACCUCAGGGCUAACUUUCUCCAAAUGUUCUUUCUUAUGCCUCUCCCGUCUCAUUGGUCCCUUGGCCCAUUGUCAUCUUAAGACAAGGGUACUGCCUCAGGGGCAAGGCCAGACGAGCCGACCUGGCAGAAGGUCUGAAGUGAUUAGCCGAACAGCCCUGUUCCUCAUAGUAGUCGCUGUGCCUGCAUGUUACCAAAUGGAGAGCAGAGAUUAGGUGACUUACCCAAGAUCAAAAAGUCUUCUAUUUCAAAUCUAAGAUUAGUUUGUCUGAUUAGCCAGUCACAAUCUAUAUGUCACAGAGAAGAGAGUAGAGCUUUUCAGGAGGAGGCCACCUGGCUGGUUGCUUCACUGACGGGCAGUAUAUUGGGACAGAUAGCGCAGAUCUAAUCCUUAGCUUUACAGUUGCAAUAAUGACUGGGCCCCUUCACUCAGGGUGAUUAAGCUGAGAGGGAUUAAUUCAUCAUAGUCAAAUUUACAAGCGACUGAUGUAUAAAUCAGCUUGUCAUGUUAUUUAUAAUGGGAAAUGUUUCUCACACUUGAACUUGUGGACCCUUGCCUAUAUCCCUGUUUGGGAAAUAUUGCUUUCAUACUUACAUUAUAAGAUGAUCGCCUGACUGCAACAGAUGAUCGCCUGACUGCAACAGUCAUAAAGGUAAAACCGGUCUGGGCAUUGAUAUUACCUGGCUUUACUCUGUAAAAAGGUGGUGAUCCAGGUGAUGCUUGUGUUAAAGUUUUAUGUAUCUUUCAAAUGAAAACACAACACUUAAAGAUUUUCCUAAGGAAUUCAUGGACCUCUGAGAAUUUGAUUAAAGACUCCAAUAUGAAAAACAAUGCAAUAGGAGAAAGGCUUUGAACACUGGGGCCGGUUAUGUAUACAGGAUGCUCUAAAGCAAGUCUACUCAGGAAACCGGAUUGUAGAUCUGAAGGCAGAUUGUUGGUGUAGAAUAAGGGCAGAGGGAGUUGGCUGUUCUCAGGGAACACAGCCCUCAGACAAGGGGAGCUAGUUAUCCUAUCUGCACUUAUUCUACAAAUACUUCCGUUUAAGACUACCAGUCAUGGAGAACCGAGUUCCAUCUUUCUUCGAUUAUGGUAGAGAAGCACUGACAAAUUAUUAUUCACUAACUUCCUUUUUCCUAGACUCCUCUUGAAUCCGUGAACCCUCCCUGCCAAUGCAUCAUUUCAAGGUAAAUAGGAAGUGUGCUCUCUUCCUGACAAGGAAGGAGCUUGGACCAGAUUGGUGGAACGCCAAAGCCCAUGCAUGCUCUUUCCAGUUAGCAUGGGGCUAGUUUCUAUCAUUGAACUAAACUUACGAGGGACCCUUAUAUUUCUAUAGGAGAUGGUAAAAGCAACUUUAAAAAAAAUCUCUUCCAAUGUAGUCUACAGAGACUCUGAGAAUCCAUCAUUCUUCUCAAAUGACUUCACCUUGUGUUCUCCCCCUACUUUUAGAUCUGCCUUUAACAAACCCUCCCUUUUCCCACCUCCAGCCUCAACUGAGCAACUGGGGAGCACUCACCGCCCAUUGUCACAUAUCCCUCCUGGCUUUGGAACCAGACUGGACUAGAGCCAGACUCAGUGCUGGGCUGCCUCCAAGCAGGCUGGAGAAUGCAUCCUGUUCCCAGGCAGCGAUUCCAAGGGCAGCAUUCAAUCGCCAGUUCUUCCCUGGCCCAUCAGAGCCCGGCAAGGGCAUGUAAUCCCUUAGGCCAUUUGGCCAAUGCCUGCCUAGUAGGGUCAGAAGUGGGGGAAGGGGUGCCUGGGAAGCAAUGAGAAAUGAGAGGGCUCCCAGGGAGCAUGCCCGGAAGCCCAGGAGCAGUGCUCUGGAGUAUUCAGUCCUUGACCCAGCGCUAAGCCAGUAUUCCUUCUGAUUGGUCAGUGCCUAGGCCAUACCAGUUAUUAAAUAUUUUGUUUAUCAGCCCUGCAUCUAAGACAGGCAGCACUCAACCAAAUGGCAUAGAAGAAGCUGGAUUCAAAUGCAUGGUACAGCAGUAAGACAUUCCCAUUUUGUGCAAGGCCCAGGUUAGGUGUGUUGAGGCAGACAUUAGAGGGCGGGGAAGUUGGGUGUAGCUGGAAGCUGGAAAUCAGGGAAUGAAUGAUAUCACCUUUCUUUCAUUACUUGUAUAACCUUGGGCAAAAGAACAGCUGGGUUCUCAUUCUGGUGAUUGGAUCUCGAGCAAAUCACUUCAUCUUGUCAAAGUUAAUUCAUCUACAAGAUAGGAGGAUGGGUGGGGUGAUAGUGAGACACGGGGUUGCUUGAUGCAGGUAGGAAGUCAGGAAUGCAGCCUUAAGAACGGGUAGGUGAGGGAUGGUGUUUAUUUAUAUAUUGAGCCUUUCUGUGGAAGAAAGCAUCCGUUUUCUCCCUGUGCUUUAACAGAAUAUAUUUAGUGUUUCUAGACCAGGCCUUGGAGUUGAGCAUCUGGCAAAAGAUGGAAAAAAUAAACAGGUGUAUUCAACAUCAACCUGAUAAUUUGCCCAGAGUCUCAGUAUUUUUGCUCGAAGCAGGACGUGUCUCUUGUCAGGUCAAAUCACAAUUAAACCAUGCUUCUUUCUUCUUAGUGAAAACAAUUUUUCUCGUCAUUUAAGUUCUUACUUAUUUCUCCUCUGAAAGGCUUACAUCACGCAGCCACAUGUGACAUUGCCAUCUGAGCAUAGCGUAGGGUAUGUACAUGUCCGGCAUGGAUUAGUUCAUUAUCACUUUUUUUAGUACUUGGUAAACAAAAAAAAAAGAAUCAUUUGUUGGUUAUAUUUUUUUCUGUGCAAGUAGAAUUGCUUAAUAGAAGAAAAGGAAAUAGAGCAACUGUUACUAAAUGACCCAAAAGCAGAAGUCGAGUUCCUUUCACAUGAGUGUUCAAGUGUUUCAGCCACGUACUCUGGUCUUGGCAGCUCGGAAUUGGGGAAGGCCUGAACUGUGUCGUGCAAAGUCAAUAGUGAAGAUCUAUGAGCCAUCAGAGGAAAGCGGGCAAGAGGUGGACGUGUGGAGGUGGUGUUGAGGGUAAAUCUUGGAGCAAAACCACUCAGCAUGAGCGCCCCUUGGAACUGAGUUAUAAUCACGUAGCAGAAACACAUGCUGCAUACUUUCUAAUUUCUCAGAACACGUUGUGUUUCAGGAACUUUGUCGAAACUGGCUCUGUGCAAGACCAAACCCCUGACUGGCUGAACAGCGCUUCUUUAGGAAUUUAUUUAACAACCAUGCACAGAACUGAAUGCAAGCUCCUCACGCUAGAAUUUGCAGCCUUCCUCAGCUCACCAGCCGGCCGUGGAUGAUCUCAGCGCCUAUGCCCUGCUACGGCUUCAGCGGGGAAGUGGUGCCCGGUUACUUGAGAACAAGUGACUAUUGCUUGCCGUGCUUUUGUGUGUCUCACGAAGCUCCUUCCUCGCUCAGCAGCACGUAAUAAGGGUGUGUGAAUGUGUGGACAGUCAGAGGAUGCUUGGCUGUCUCAUCUCUGCUGCUGGAUCCCCAAUUCCUCAGGAACACUGGCUUCUGGCUGUCUUUCUAUAUGACCUCCCGCCAUCAUGACGGACUCUUCUGUGAACUGAAAGCCAUCGAGAGAGAUGCAGGCAAGAAAGAAACAGAGCAUCACGAUGCUUCAAGUGUGUCAUCUGCCAAGUUCUAAGAGGAUCAGGCCCCAGGAGAGGAGGUGGCCUCAUGGACACCAGAUGUGUGCUGCCACAGCGGGGGCCCAGAGGGACCAGCAGGACCAGCCUCCUUCAUGCCUGGGCAACACCCUCUCUUCAGCCCUCUUCUUUUCUAAAACUAAAUUGCAUUCCCUAGGCCGCUGUACUCGAUUUCCUGGCUCCCAGAAAUCUCUGGUGUGAGAGCAGGCAGAGGAAUCUCCUGGGGUGUAUUUGGAAGGAAGGGAGUAAGCUCAGGGUUGGAUAACUUCCACAAGCGGAAUCUAAAUCAGUGGGUUUUUAAUCCUGCUGCACAAUAGAAUCAUCUGGGAGCUGUUAAAAAAUUGCAACGCCCAGGCCCAGGCCAGAGAUUCAGUUCAACAGGCCUGGACAAAGGGUUUUUUUUGACAAAGGUAUUUUUGGGAGCAAUUCCCAGGCUCUUCAGAGAUGUGACUAGGGUUGAGAACACUGGUAAAGGUCCCUGUGUGCUACAUAACAAGUCCAAACCUUAUUUGUCUGCAGGAAACCCCCAAGUCUGGGCCGGUCAGGCAGCUGUGCGGGGUGGUGGAGACCUCUUUCUUCAUCCUUAAUCUACCAGAUACGCCCUCUAUGGAGUUCUAAAACUUGAGGGAGGUGGCCCUGGGUAAGAAGAACCCAAUAACGGCACCAUUCUAGUAAGGGAAGCCAGUAGAGGAGAGAGAUAAACUCAGAGCACUGGGGCGGGGUGGGGGGUGGCAGGGAGAGGGAGAGAUGAGUUGAUUUUUUUCUUUACAUCUAAAAUAAAACCCAGAGGAGGGUGGGCGGCAGACAAGAGGAGGGAAGAAAGGGAAGUGAAACAGCAGACCGAGUCAUGAACGAAAAUGAGAGAAUCCAGGAGACAGCACCCCCGCCCUGCCUCUCACACCUGUUCUUUGAGAAUCUCAGAAGGUGGAGCUUUUGACUCAAACAAUUAAAAUUGCAAGUGGCCUUCCUUGGAAAUCUGUCCCAAAUCUCUGAAUAGCUGUGGCUCUGGCAGCUGCUUUGGGACAGUUAUUUCAGUGUCCCAGAGGAAAGAUAUUUUGGGGUUUAGUCCUUGCCAGAAAUAAGAAGCCAAGGGAAAAGGAGAAACAUUACAGAAUUUCCAAAAAUAUUUUGAUAGCAAUGCAAAACUUUGUGGAGGCUUAAGGAAAAAUUAGAGUACACUCUUAUUUUAAAAAUGCCUAGUGGACUGGCUUUGUAUUUUGGCUAGUAGCUGCGUUCUGUCAUCCUCUGUUGUCAACUGCAAAAGGGCCUGUGAGUUCAGUCGCAGGUGUGGGAGUGUAUGUGUGUACGUGUGUGUGCGUGUGUACCCCGAGCUGUAUAUUGAUAGUGUUAUGAUUUGUAUGUAUGGAAUAGGUAAGGCCUAUGUAAGUUUUAAAAUAAUAUGGAACUUUGCCUGUUUGGGAACAUGAAGAAAAUGACAUCAGAUCUAAGUCUGGCAGAAAAGUGAAGCACCAAAGGCUUCGGUUAGUUAUUUCAAAUUGGACCAUGCAUCUCAAGAAACCAAACACGACCCUACCUAUCGAUGGGCAUCAGGGCAUCGUCGGCCCUUUACCACAACUCAGGGGUCUUUCGUGGUCCUGCUGGGAAAUAAUGCGCUCUGAAUGAAGCUCGUGGUUUUCCUCUUCCAGUCCUUCUUCCCUCCAUCAACUCCUGCUUCUCUUGCGUGAAAGAAGGAAAAGUCUUAAAGCGUCCAACAGUCUUAGUGGUUAAAGGACUUUGUUCCUCCCCUGUGGCCUGGCAAUAAGACAAUUUUAUGGGUUCUUAUUUUUAAUUCGCUUAAGCUAUUAGUUGUUGUUCUAUAAUAUUUUAUUUGUUAUAAUGUGCUCAUUUUCUCUGGAAGCACCUGAGGGCUGUGUUGUACAGGGUGCAAUUUUAAAAAUAAAAUAAUGUUAAUUAUGCCCCGGAGGUUGGCAGAUGUGGACUUAAGAAUUAUUGCAUUAUAAGGGUAUCCCUCAGUUAUGUGCCUGCUCAUAAAAGUCUGACCAUCAGUCAGCUUGUCCGGGCAGCCAAAACUGUAGAAUCAUUUAGGGAUCAAGGGUACCGAAAGUGCCAGAGCUUUGCUUAUCUCAGCAAAAAGGGCUUUAUGCACUUUGGGACCUUAAGUAACCAACAUUUAUGUCCAUGGUGGAAAAUGAAAGUGAAGGAUCUGAGAGAACAAGAUUUUCUUAGCAGUCAAACAUGGGAGCCCUUGGGAAGGACGGGCAGCUAGUACUGACCCUCAUUUUGCUCUGGCACUCAGCAAGUGAGCAAACAAUACCUGCUCCAUAAGGUGGGUAUUAAAAAACUGACCCCAGUGGCUUUUUUUUCUCUAAUUUUUCCUCAAUAAGGGAAAGAAAUUGUAUUUUUUUAUUUAAAGGAAGAGGGAAAAAAAGUAUUUUUAUUCAUAGGAUUAUACCUGUAGGAAUUUCAUUUCUUUGAAUUUUAAAAUAAACAUGUAAACUGCCCCAAAGCAGAGUUUUAAGUUCAUAUUGUUACUAAAUUUAAGAUUGAGUUUAAUUAAGAAAGUCUUCAAGUUGAAUUGUUAAUUGGUAAUGAUAGUUAAAAGUUUACACUUCUUCCUAGUUUAUAAAAAGCAUUCACAUGCUUGCUCACUUAACUUUCACAACAUGGAGAGGAAGAUGAGGCAGGUUUUAUUAUCUCUACUUUAUGGAUGGGGAGGCCAAGGCUCAGAAAAGUUAAGGAUCUUCCCCAAGUCACGAAACUGGUACAGGAAGCGGGUGCCUGGGUGGCUCAGUUGGUUAAGUUUCCAGGUCUGGAUUUGGGCUCAGAUCAUGAUCUCAGGGUCCUGGGAUUGAGCGCAGGGUCACCUUGGGCUCCAUGCUGGGGGGGGGGGAUCUGCUCGUGAUUUUUCUCCCCCUCCCUAUCCCUCCCCUCCGCGCUCAAGUGUGUUCUCUCUCUCAAAUAAAUAAAUAAAUCUUAAAAAAAUGCUGGUACCUGAAGAAUGUAAGUCUUUUGAUUCCAAAUCCAUGCUUUACC